AUUGAACGCUGGCGGCAGGCUUAACACAUGCAAGUCGAACGAUGAAGAUAUAGCUUGCUAUAUUGGAUUAGUGGCGGACGGGUGAGUAACACUUAGGAAUCUACCUUUUAGCGGGGGAUAGCUCGGGGAAACUCGAAUUAGUACCGCAUAAUUUCUACGGAAUAAAGAGGGCUUUUAGCUCUCACUAGAAGAUGAGCCUAAGUAAGAUUAGCUAGUUGGUGGGGUAAAAGCCUACCAAGGCGACGAUCUUUAGCUGGUCUGAGAAGAUGAUCAGCCACACUGGGACUGAGACACGGCCCAGACUCCUACGGGAGGCAGCAGUGGGGAAUAUUGGACAAUGGGGGCAACCCUGAUCCAGCCAUGCCGCGUGUGUGAAGAAGGCCUUUUGGUUGUAAAGCACUUUAAGCAGUGAAGAAGACCUAUUGGUUAAUACCCAAUAGCGAUGACAUUAACUGCAGAAUAAGCACCGGCUAACUCUGUGCCAGCAGCCGCGGUAAUACAGAGGGUGCAAGCGUUAAUCGGAAUUACUGGGCGUAAAGCGAGCGUAGGUGGUUAAAUAAGUCAGAUGUGAAAGCCCUGGGCUCAACCUAGGAACGGCAUCUGAAACUAUUUAACUAGAGUAGGUGAGAGGGAAGUAGAAUUUCAGGUGUAGCGGUGAAAUGCGUAGAGAUCUGAAGGAAUACCGAUGGCGAAGGCAGCUUCCUGGCAUCAUACUGACACUGAGGCUCGAAAGCGUGGGUAGCAAACAGG
rnacentral:rRNA from 1 species